GAGGAGAGAGAAUCCCAAGCAGGUUCCACACGGUCAGUGCAGAGCCUGACGCUGGGCUGGAUCUCACAAGCCCCGAGAUCAUGACCUGAGCCGAAGUCGGAUGCUCAACCGACUGAGCCCCCCAGGCACCCCUGAUGUAUUUAGUCUUUGAAAAUUGAAGAGGUAGAAACUAACUCUGGAAAAGCCCUGUUCUGGUCGAGGAAUCAGGACCUUGGAGCCAACCUGGGGCCGCAGCCCUGGGGCUGGUGUCAAAGGUGCCGCAUGGACUCCAGGGUGCCUGGGACUUCGCCUGCCCCUAGAGUGGGAUUCAGGAGGGACCCUGACGCGUCUGGGCCACCGGCCUCCUCUGGGGCCUCCCUUGGAUUAUCCGCGCAGUGUAUCUCUCUAGCGUCUCGUGGGCCGGACUCUGCUGUGUGGCCCUCAAAGCUUGUACCUCAAAACCAAGCCCGGUUUCACUGGCUGGCCGUCUUCCUUACUCCGCAGAGGAGGGGCCGCUGGGCUGGGACCCCAGGGCUGAGGAUGGGGCACACGGGGCCACACUGGUGUGUUGGACUCCUCUGCCUCACCUUGCGUGCUUCUCCUGGGUGCUCUUGUGUAUUUCUCACGGUAACCGCAGGACUUGGGGGCUGCUGCCGCCGACCGCGGACGGCGCUGGGGCUGCCUGGGGCCCUGGCGGGGGGCUGGGCAGGAUCGGGGACCCUGGGGGGUGCCCUCCGGCGCUGGAGUCGCUGCGGUCCCGCUCAGCGGUCAGUCCACGGGCCCUCGGCUCUGCCAGUGAGAACGGCACCAACAUUAAGCACAGGGAGGAGGCACCGUGCCAGGUAGCACAUCAUCUGCGAUUAUUGCUUAUUGCCUUCUUCAUCCAGCUUGAAAUGCCCACCAGCUGUGUGUCCUUCCGUCUGUCUGGGUUACGGUUGCCAGGGACACAAGGCUGUCUGUCGGGUGUAGGAAGGCGUGUGUCCCGGGGAGGCAGGAGGGGCCCUACGGCACACACCGCUGUGUGGACAGGGCCUGGAUUCAUCCCGGUGGCCGGGGGUCCCGUGGGUCCGGCCGGUGGGCGGUGGGCCUUUGCUCGAGCACGGUUCUGUGGCCGGGGGUGGGACAGCCACUCCUCCUCCUCCACGACACCGGCAGGAGACGACGCCCCCGGAGAAAGCCGGGGUUUGUCAGCUGCAGAGGGAACAGGGCGAACUUGUCUCACUCCAGCUCUGCAGUCCUGUCGUCCUGAGGUUCAGGGUACCCCCCGGGCUCAGGAGGGGCGACCCCCGCGGCUCAGAGACGCUGGCGCCCCCCCUCCCCCCACCAAGGAGGGCUGAGGGCUCUGGGGCUCUGACCUUCCCUCCACAGGGCGACGAGGCAAUUCCUAUUCCGGGGACAUUUUUCACAAUAAAUCCAAGUCAGGCUCUGAGAGAAUGGAAGUCCCUGGGGCACAAGGUUAUGGGCACCUUGACAGCCCGGGGCGAAGUAAAUCAGCAGAACGGAUGACAUUUUUCCAGAUGGAAACCGAGUGCCGGUCUGUCUCCUCAGGAAGAGGAAGCCAGCGUCUAGCACAGGAGGUUGCUCGCGGAGGGAAGCUGCUGACGGGUCUGCCCUCAGAGGGGGCCGAGGUCGAGGCCGAUGGCCGAGGGUCCUCGCGGGGCGGGAGCCGGGGAGGGUCCGUGCGCCCCGAGCUCCUCGUGUGUGUUCACUUCAUGCCACGUGUUGUCUCGUGGAGGCAGGGCCGGGUGGCGUGAACAGGUGAUGGGGCGCUGGGCCGGGCGGGGGAGGGAGGGAGACCCGGGGGCAGAGGUCAGGGCAGAGAGGCUGAGACACCUCCCCGGGUUCCUUGUUUGACGGGGAAGCGCUGAUUAGGCGCCUGUGUCCGCAGGGAGCAGCACUUCCCGUGCCUGGUGCUGCUGGCCCCUCAUGAAACCGGGGGGGUUACCGUCGUUCCCACCUUGGCUGGGGGCUCAGAGAGGCUUGCGCAGGUGCCCACGGCCACGCACGAAACGGUCUUGUCCGGCCUCCACGCGGCAGCGGACCCCAGAGUCUCUACCGCCUCCCCACUAAGCUCCCCGGGGGCAGGUCACGCAUCUUGGUCACCGUGUCCUCCCCUGUCCAGCUGAGUGGCCACAGGGAAGCGUCCAGAAACGUCUGAAUGAAUGAGCGAGCCCACGUCAUCACGAGGAUACCUUUACCGACAACAGCCUCCGUUCAUCGGUGGCCGCUGGCCCGUUGGCGCCCCAGCGGCCCUGUGAGGUGUGGGGACACCCGGGCUCGCGGGGGAUCGUCAGCGCGUUCCAGGUCGCGCCGCUGGUGGAGCUGGGAAUGGAGCCCACGGGGCUCUGACCUCUGUCCUCGCGGGAGCCGUCCCAGGGCUGAGUCUGCGUGAAGGAGCCUGUCCUCAGCUGUCUUCAGGUGCACGUCAGCGGGAGACGAGGACCCCGUGGGAAGGCGGCGGCGUGGAGGCUGGUCUGCUGGGGGGGGGGGGGGGUCUGUCCUGUUCCCGGUGCCCAGGCCCCCCUACCUUCUCCAUGUAGAGAACCUGGCCCAGGCCUUGGGGCUCCCAGACCAGCAGAAAGCGUGGCCGUGGCGCCGUGCCGGUGCGGGUCUCCGUCCUGAGGGGCCUGGCUGCCGUGUCACAGGCCCAUCACGUCCGUCUGGAGGAGGACCCAGGGAACGGCCCCACGUGGGCGGGGAAAGCGCUGGCGUCGGGAGUGGGACGGCCACCGUCAGCACCGCACACAUGGGGGGAGCCGUCCCCGACCUGCUGCUCGGACCCCCGCGUGCUGGAGGACUGUCCUGUGAGCCCUGCCCGGAGUCCCCAGCCCCAGGGUCUCGGGGCGGCCUCGGCUCCUGUGCCCGGCCGCUGUGUGUUGCCGUGGUGUGUGACGGACGGCUCGGCCCACCCUCCUGGGGCCGAAAGCGCAGAUGGCGGGCGGCCGUCGGAGCGGGAUCUCGAGGGCCGCAGGCAGUGUCCGGGGCCAUGGCCGAGGCGAGCAGUGCACAGCCGUGUCUGAGUCUGUGCGCGGCCUGUUGUGGUUUCAGAGGUGAGGGCAGGUUAGCAGGCAUCUGGGAUCCUGGGAGGAGAAUGGGACGCAUCCGUCCUGCUGACACCGAAAAGUCACCACGGGGCAAGAGGAGAGGCAGGGGGCACCUGGGUGGCUCAGUCGGUUGAGCGUUUGACUUGGGCUCAGGUCCUGAUCUCACACUCCGUGAGUUCGAGUCCCGCGUCGGGCUCUGUGCUGACGGCUCGGAGCCUGGUGCCUGCUUCGGAUUCUGUGUCUCCCUCUCUGCCCCUCCCCCGCUCAUGCUCUGCCUCUUUCUCUCUCUCAAAAAUAAAUAAACAUUGAAAACAUUUAAAAAAGAAAGAAAAGAGUCAGGCUUCCAGGUGCUGUUCAGCGUGGGGCGGGUGGCUCCAGGCGGUGGCGGGAGAGUACCCGUGAGCGAAUGAACACUGGCAAACACCCAGUGCCCUGGGCCCAGAGACCGACACGGCCCGGGAGCCGUGGGCCAGCGUGUGCACUAGCAUCCGGGCAGCGGCCCGGGGGAGCAAGGUGGAGAGGACCCGGUUCCCUCUCCGGUGCUUUGUGUCACUGGAAGGACACGCGGUUGGGCCCGGCCCUGGCUCCACCGGGUUAGAGGCUGUGUGAUGUGCCGUUCGCGGUCCCAGGCUCCCGGGAGCACCGUGAGCUCCCAGAUCAGGCCGUCCUCCUCUGUUCGGCGCCCCUGUGAGUCCCACACCCGGGCUCUUCCAGCCUACACACAACCUUCAUGUGGACAGAGCUUCUCCCUCUGUAACUUACGGGACGGCAUCCGCCCGUCCCAGGCACGCUUCCCACGGCGCAAAGCCACCUCCGCCUCACGGCUGGGCGCACAGCUGGACACAGAGCUGGAAGGAGCUCGCGCUCAGGUCGUCUGGAGCAGAAGAUCCAAGGAGAUGACACAGGUGACAGGGAAGCGGGCCACUCUCUCUUCGUGCCUCGCCUCUAACGCCUGUCAACGACCGCCCGUCAUCCCUCCAGACCCCCAGAUGUCACUGCUACCUCUUGGAGAUGUGCUGCCCCGGCCCCUGGGCUCAGCAUUGCCCCCACCACUCCUCCCGUCCACGGAGUGCGAGCAGGGGAGGGGCAGAGAGAGAGGGAGACACAGAAUCCAAAGCGGGCUCUGGGCUCCAGGCUCCCAGCUUUCAGCACAGAGCCCGACGCGGGGCUCGAACUCACAGACUUCGAGAUCAUGAAAGAAGCCAAAGUCGGACGCUUAACUGACUGAGCCCCCCAGGGGCCCCAGGGUAAAGACUUAGGUGUGCAAUUGCUGGCCGUACAGUCACUAUAUGCUUAAUAGUUUCAGAAGCUGCCGGAAUGUGUCCUGAAGCGGCUGCACCAUCCGUGUUCCCGCCAGCCCUAUGUGACUGUCCAAUUGUCCCACGCCCUCGACAACUUGUUCUGUUCCCUGUUUUGAGUAACAGCUAUCCCGGGGGACGAGCCGUGGUUUCUCACCGUGGGUUGGUUCACGUUUCUCUGCUGGCUGGUGACGGUGACGAUCCCUUCGGGUGCUCAUCGGCCAUUUGCCAGGCUUCCUGGGUCAGAUUUCUUUUUUUAAAGUCCUGGGAACUUGCACGAAAAGGCCCUUCACAGACGCGCCGUGGUGAGGUUUCCCGACGGCGAGCCGGUGAAGAGCUGGUUCCUCCUUUGCGCGUGGCUCCGCGGCGGCCGCUGGCAGGCUGCCGUCCCCACGUGGGGCUCCAUCUGGCAGCUGGAGCGGGUGGUGCGACAGCCGGGACGCUUCACCGUCCUUUAACGUGAGAGAAGGCAGCGGUGGGCUUGGCCGUGCGUGUCCCUCCAGCCUGGGCGCAUAGCGGUCGUUCUCACACGCGGCGGCCCUCGCUCGUAGGCCAGCACGGUAGCUGGGGUUCUCGCCGGUUUUGCGCAGGAGGAAACCGAAGCCGGUCCGAGAUUGCUCCGAACCGGUGGCGGGCCCGGGGCCUGACCUCGGGCCUCCGCUCUGUCACGGCGUGUGUCCGGAGGCCCCGCAAGAGCAGGAUUCAGAGAGCGCGAGGUUCUGCCGUGAGACCCGGCCUUCUUGUCCUUUUCCUUUCUGCGAGUCUGUUCGUCACAGUAGAGCACACACCACAGAACUCCCCGCUCUACCCAUUUUUGGACACACGGCUUGGCGGAGCGAGCACGUUCACACUGCUGUGCAGCCGACAUCACCGGCUUCCGCCUGACCCUUCGUGCUGCAGAACUGAAGCUUGGUCCCCACCACACGUGACCCCCCCGGAGCCCCUCCCCCAGCCCCGGCCACCACCAUCUACUUUGUGCCUCGAUGAAUCUGACCGCUCUGGGUACCUCCUGUGAGGAGAAUUAUACCGCAUUUGUCUUCUUGCGAAAGGUGUGUCUCCCUCACUAUGCUGUCUGGAAGGUUCAUUCAUAUUGGAGCAGGUGUCAGAAUUUCCUUCCUUUUUAAGGCUGAGUAAUACUCCAUCGUACGGACGGGCCACAUUUCCUUUAUUCCUUUACUUCCACAACGGGCACUUGGGUUGCCUCUAGUUUCGCUAUUUAAAAAAAUUUUUUUUAAUGCUUAUUUAUUUUUGAGAGAGAGACAGAGCGUGAGUGGGGGAGGGGCAGAGAGAGAGGGAGACACAGAAUCGGAAGCAGGCUCCGGGCUCCGAGCUGUCGGCGCGGAGCCCGAUGCGGGGCUCGAACCCACGGACCGCUGGGUCAUGACCUGAGCUGAAGUCGGAAGCUCAACCGACUGAGCCACCCGGGCGCCCCUCGCUAUUGUUAAUAAUGCCGGUGUGAACGCUGGUGUGCCAGUGUCUCUUCAAGACCCCGCCUUUAGUUCUUUGAAGUGCCCUUGCUGCGUGGAUGGUGGCGUCUCUGUGUUUAUUUUCUCUAGAAACUUCCAUACUUUUCCACAGAGGCUGCACCACCUUAUGUGCCCACCUGCAGUGCACAGGGGAAACAGACCUGGCAUCCUUUUUAAGAGUGGAAUUAAGGAGGUCUAAAUUUCCAGUUACAAAAUCAAGAAGUCAUGGGGAUAAAAAAGAACAGCAUAGGAAACACAGGCAGUAAUGUUGUGAUGACAUCGUGUAACGACGGAUGGCAGCUAGGCUCACCGUGCGGGAUGCUGGGGAUUGUGUGCAGUUGUGCGAUCCCCGUACGUCCGCCUGAAACUAAUAUGACCCUGUGCGUCCACUCUGUGAAAGCCACCGCACCAGAGUGGAGACAGGCCACAUCCCGGGAGUUCAGGUGGCAGGAUCCCGAGCCUGAUGUCAGCCAGGAGCUCGGGGGCUCCCUGCCAUUGGUCGAUCCCUGUGUUCCUGGCGUGGCCUGGCAGGGUCGUGCAGAAUUCUAUGCCUAGCCACCUCUGAUCUGGUCACCGUGUAGAGCACGGUUUAGUCCGCACGUGGCCAACCCUGUAGACGCCUGCCCCGUGUCUGCCUCCCCCUUUUUGCAUCCUAACACCGCUGCGCUUUUGUUCACACUUAGGGCCGGAGAUGUGUUUACUGGCCCCGGGUGCUGGGGGAGGUGCUGGGGGGGGGGGCAGGGAGGACAAAGAGCCCCGAGGUGCGGAGGGUGGAUUAGUGCGGCCGAAACUAGAAUCACAGAGUCUGCUCUGGACACUCGUUCGCCGCCCAGGACGGGGAGCCGGCAGCCCAGGGCAGAGCAAGUGCGUCCCCCCUUCCUGGGAAGGAGGCCAGUUAGAGCCGCCCCGCGGGGCCGGGGCCCGACGCCCCUCGCCAAGGACGCUGUGUUGUCUGUGUAUUUGGAAGGAAAGGAGGGUUAAAAUACCUCUUUGUCUACUGAGGACCCGGUCCGUCGUGACUCAUUUCUCCUUCCUUCCGUUUAGUAAGAGAGACAGGCCCUGUGCCAGCCAGUACGUUCCCAGGCCAGGCAGGUGCAGAACUCCCUGAGACACUGUGACACGCUGGAUUGCUCGUUUAAUUUAAGGCUUAAACAGCUCCAAGAAAUACGUAGAAGCCUAUGCAUCACCGCGGAGGACUUGAUCGGAGUUUCCACUUAACUGGUUUAACGAGUCCCCACGAUCCUCCGUUCCAACCCGGGCUUACAUUUUGGAUUGCUGACGAGGCUCAGAACAUGCGCGUGCCCCAGUGUUUCACACCGACAGGCAGAGACACACGGGGUGGUCCUUCUCACGGGCCCUCCUCCUCCUGCACCCGCCUGGGGCCUGCGGGCCCGGCAGCCCCGGGUGCCCUGCACGAGCCCUGCUGCCUCCCUGGGACCCCUGCGGCCACCUGCCAGCAGCCGACUUGUGGAGCUAGGAUUUCCCGUGUUGGAAACAGGAAACAUAAAAAAUAAUCCUCUGGUUACGCAGAGACCCGGUGAGCAGAUCAGUGCGCCCUGAGCAGGCCCCUCAAGUGCAACCCAGCUCUGACCUUCCGCAGAGACCCCCUUCUUCCCAUUAUUGAUUCUUUAAUGGCAUCUAAUGAUGAUGUAAGGAGGCUGCCGGCCGAGCCCUUCAGUGCCAUCGAUCACUUGUUAAGGAUCAGAGAGGCACGCCCAUCUGCGUACCCCCGACCCUACAUCCCUGGAGGAUCCUGCGCUGCCCCAGGACCCCUCCACCUGGUCCUUCCGGCCCUGCCCCCUCCGCCCGCCCCCCCCUGCCAGUCUUCCUGGCCCUGCCCCCUCU